GCUGGGGCAGUUGGCCGACAUGCCACUGCGCAUGUGUAUCAACUACAAGGGUUGGUGCUGGGGUUGAGGCUUUCGAUUAACACAGCAGCCAAAGAGGAAGGUAAUGCUGUGCCUCUUUGUCGAGCCAAACCCGCCCCCAACUUUAUUAACCUUCAAGCAAGUUCCCCACCAGCCACUUGCCUGAAAAUCCCAGCAACAAAGCUGUCCUCAGGAAUUGACCACAAGCCCAAGGAAUGCCUAGGACUCCUAGAAUAUAUGUAUGCCAGUCUCCAGCUUGAGACCCAGCUUGCCCAACAACGGAUGGCUAUUUUUGAAAAUUUACAAGCAUCCAUGACAAAACUGGCUCCUGGGAGAGAAAGCCAGAACUCUUCUCUCCCAACCUUAUCUUGCAAUCUGUUGUUAAAUCACCUGCCCCAAUUCAGUAAAUGAAUUGUGGAACAAAGUUAUCGUGUAUGUUUUCCCUACUCUCUUCCCAGUAAACCCUUGGUGGAAUCUGGGCAUAUAUAUUCUACAAGUGGUUGGUUAGUUCACAAGUUCAUAGUACGUGUUCAUUGAGUGCAAAGCACUAUACAAGGCACUUGGGGAUACAUAUAACAGAAGAGAGAGUUUUGGGGGAUUUACUAUCUAACAAGGCAGAUAAGAAAAAGAAUUCAUUGUAAAAUUUAGUGGUACUCUGAGGGGGAAUGGAAGUUCAGAGAUAGAGGUUAGUAGGAUACUGGACCAAUCGUGGAAUCUUGCUGGAGGAAGUGGUGCCACUUGAUGAAGGAGCUGCAUUGGAUGGCAUGGACGGAUGAAGUAAGGUAGUUUCAUGUCAGUUGGGAAGCUUGGACAAAGACCUAGAGGUAGGAGAAUAAGUCAUCAAAAAUUAGGAUAAGAGGGUUUUUUAUGCCCAGAAUAUAGGAGAUGAGGCAGAAUGUAGAGCAGCUGAGAACAGACAGAGCAGCUUUCCCUGGGGAAUUAUUCUGGUAACAACUGUUAGAAAACUGUCUGAUUUUCAUUCUUUUCUUUUUAAAUUAAUUUAAUUAAUUUAUUUAUUUUUGGCUGUGUUGGGUCUUUGUUUCUGCACGCGGGCUUU